ACGGAAGGCAGCAGUGAGGAAUAUUGGUCAAUGGGCGGAAGCCUGAACCAGCCAAGUCGCGUGAAGGAUGAAGGUAUUAUGUAUUGUAAACUUCUUUAGACGUAGAGAAAUAAGGGGAUCGUGAUCCCUGAUGCUAGUAUACGUAGAAUAAGGAUCGGCUAACUCCGUGCCAGCAGCCGCGGUAAUACGGAGGAUCCGAGCGUUAUCCGGAUUUAUUGGGUUUAAAGGGUGCGCAGGCGGUCUUUUAAGUCAGUGGUUAAAGCGUGGAGCUUAACUCCAUCCCGCCAUUGAUACUGGAGGACUUGAUUGCGGUUGAGGUUGGCGGAAUUCGCCGUGUAGCGGUGAAAUGCAUAGAUAUGGCGAAGAACUCCGAUUGCGUAGGCAGCUGACCAAGCCGUAAAUGACGCUCAUGCACGAAAGUGCGGGGAUCGAACAGGAUUAGAUACCCUGGUA
rnacentral:rRNA from 1 species